AGCGAACGCUGGCGGCAGGCCUAACACAUGCAAGUCGAACGGACCCUUCGGGGUUAGUGGCGGGCGGGUGGGGAACACGUGGGAACGUGCCUUUAGGUUCGGAAUAGCUCCUGGAAACGGGUGGGAAUGCCGCAUGUGCCCUUCGGGGGAAAGAUUUAUCGCCUUUAGAGCGGCCCGCGUCUGAUUAGCUAGUUGGUGCGGUAAUGGCUCACCAAGGCGACGGUCAGUAGCUGGUCUGAGAGGAUGACCAGCCACAUUGGGACUGAGACACGGCCCAAACUCCUACGGGAGGCAGCAGUGGGGAAUCUUGCGCAAUGGGCGAAAGCCUGACGCAGCCAUGCCGCGUGGAUGAUGAAGGUCUUAGGAUUGUAAAAUCCUUUCACCGGUGAAGAUAAUGACUGUAGCCGGAGAAGAAGCCCCGGCUAACUUCGUGCCAGCAGCCGCCGUAA
rnacentral:rRNA from 1 species